UAAAAAGGUUGGAAAAAGUUGAAAGAAUAUUGGGGAAGGAAAAGAGGGUUUGAAAUUUGUGAUAAUAAAGUCUCUUUAAUUUACUUACUUAUAUUCUAAGCAUGCCUUUGAUGAAUGCCUUGAGAAGUUACAGAAGCAUCCAAGAUUUUCGGUAGACUCGCAUCAACAAUAUUGGUGGAUAAACCAAAGUUAUCAUAAUACAAAAAGAGGAUGGAUAAAAAAGAUGAUGGAGAGACGACUCACCCAGAAGGUCGAAGAACCACGAGUGGUGUUUUAGGACCAAAAGGCGCUAUUAGUUUAUAGAGAGCUACCAAAAAUGAGGACAAUUAUAGGUGUGCUCGUUAUUUUAUCUCCUCUAUUGAUUUAAAAAUAUAUAUAUUCAAAGGGAAAUGCCUGUGUAUCUCUUGACCAGUAGAUUAUUAUUAAGGCCAUAUAAUAUAAAUCUUCUCAUUAGAUCAUCAACUUGACUUGGUGUAAUGAAAUCACGAUUUACGUGAAUGAUAAGUGAAUGGGCAAACUAAUAAUUCAAAAACAA